rnacentral:miRNA from 1 species
UUGGCGGCGUGGGUGUU